GUUUAAAUAGCUUAUUUAGAGUAUAGUAUUGAAGAUGCUAGGGAGGUAAUUGUACCUUUAAACA
rnacentral:tRNA from 1 species